rnacentral:piRNA from 1 species
CUGCAACUAGAUGGACCUGCUUGGA